CUUCCCUUCCCCAAAUCCCUCGCUACAGAUCCCAUGCCUAUGAGUCGUCGCCGCCGCCGACUUAUUCUUGUCUACGGCGACCUCAAGCAGCAGCCAAGGAGGAGCUCGACGCGGGGAGGGCCGAGGACGAAGCGGCGCAGUGGCGACAACGACGGGCGACCUCAACUGGCAGUAUACUGCAGCGAAAGGAAGAGCUAGACGUGGGGAGGGCGACGAGCAGGAGCGGCGCGGUGGCGACAACGAUGGACGACGCCCCAGCUCGAUUGGAUUAUCAUGAUCUAAGUAGCGACGCCGUGGUGUCAUCAUGGUUGGAGGAGACAACUCAUAUGAACAUGCCAAGGAGACCGAUCAUACUACUUUAUGCAAUGUGGUAAUGUUUUUCCUUUAUUGCUAUUGUUGCACUAUGUAUUAUAAAUUCGUAAUGUAAGAGAACUACAUGGAUGAUACAUCUCAUUAAACACUUGAAUACUUGAUUAUAGAAUCGUGGUACUAAGAAUAUAUUGUUUACGCUGAUUUCUGAACCAAUUUCCACCAUUUGUAUUCCGAUAACUACGAUGCUUGGAUUUCCACUUGGGACGAAGCGAACACUUAUUCAUCGGUAUUCCAAAUUAUAUCACUUGGUUGUAGUAUCAUGGUGCUAAUUAGAUAAUCUCUUGACUGGUUUUGACUCUAUGCCAAUAGUUCAGCAUCUUUUGUUCUCAUAAGUCUUAAAAGGAAUCAUUAAAAAUUGGCAGAUGGCCAGUAAAGUGUCAAACCCAGAGGCCCUCUGCCAUCUUGUGGGUAAAACUGCAUUGUAAAACUAAAAAGUGAAUCAUAUUAGCAAUGUGCCCACCCUCAAAUUGUUUCUUGUUAUAUUAAUGUGCAGACUACCAGAUUGCAAAUUUUCCGAUCAUGAUAUGAUUCUGAGAGAUGAUGCAUGAUUGCAGAUGGCUACCAAAUUGGAAAAUUAUUAACCUUCAGUAAAUAUAGAUGUACUUCAUGCGUGCAAGUUUGAUGCAUGAUUGCAGGUGCAUGCAGGCUCAGUUUGUGCAAGGCAAGUGUGUGCGUAUAUCAAGAAUGAUUACUUUAUUUUCAGAUGGCACCUGCAAUGCUCAUACCAAGUGCGUGCAUAAAUUAGUAUCAUGUUGCGUGCACAUUGAGCUUAUAAUCUUAUCUGGAUAAUUUUUCAUAUUUCUCACACACACACUUAACCCAUCCAUUUAUCUCUCUUUCUCUAUCUCACACACACUUAACCCAUCCAUUUAUCUCUCUGCUAAUUCUCCACUUGGGUACAAGUCGCUCGAGGUUGCUACUGCAGGAACAUGGUUUGCCCAUCAAUCUCUUGGAGUGAUUCGACCCUUGGAAACAUAACCUGCUACUUCACUCGGCGCAAGGAACUGGGUAAUAAGUUACAGUUUUCGUUUCCAAUUCUGUUGCUGAUUGAUUAGGCAUUACUCAUCUAUGUUAUACUGAUAGUUAAGGAUUUGCUGCAAUUACAGAACUAAGAACUUAGCUUUCAGAACGAAUAGAACAUUGAUUAUGCUAAAACUAAAAUAAAUCUUGAUCUGCUUCAGAUCCCACAAACUGUUGAGAGUGAUUGGUUCAAAGGUCAACACAAACAUUGUCAAACCUUUUUUUACGAAGAAACCUUGAUAUUUAAACUGGUCCAGAAACUAGAAUUCUGUAAUACAAUGUACUCAUAUAUGACUUACAUGCAUCUAUGAACCAUAUGUUCCUUCUAAGUGAUUGUCAGUUUCUUCCUUUCUUGAUUAAUGUGUAUAUGAUAUGCAAAAGUAAACUGUUAUAUAUCCCAUAUGUUCAUGUUUAUCAGGACCCAUCAAGUUGUCCUAUCCAAAUUCAGAGGGUCGAUUUAAAAAAAUCAGAAUAAGAACUCUGAAGACUUGAACAAUCCUUUUCACAAACGGAUUGAGAUGAAAUUGCGUGCUUUAUCUGAUAGGUUCUCUCAUUUUAAUUAUUAUCAUUGUGUGUUGAUUAUAUGAGGUGUUAGCUCUUCCUGGACCUCUCAUCAUUUCACCUGUAGCUAAUGAAGCUUAGUGGAAAGCAUCAAUAAAUAAUUGUUGGCAUAUUUGAUAAUUUUAGAUAGUUGUUGAGGCAGACAUGCUGGUCCUCAGGUUAAAAUACAUUUUUUGCCUGAUCUUUGUAUAGGUGGUAUGACUAUAACUGAACCAUGUGUUCUUUUAUAUCAUAUAACUGAAUCAUGAGUUUGUUUCAUAUUUUAAACCUACAUGAAAGGAAGUGUGCUUGUUGACGAUGGUUAUUGUUGCUGAAUCCAUAUCCUGGUUCAGACUCAUAUUUUGUUAUUCUUAGGUGGCGGACUUGUACGGCAUCGCGACGGACAACUCGCGGUCCGUGUGCCGCGGCAUGGCUUUGGCUCGUCAGGCAAUAUUGGUCCAAUAUGGGUCUUACCAUCGCAGUGCUGCGAGGCCUAUGUAUUGUCUCGCCCUUUUCCACUGCUCAAACAGUCAUCUACUGCAAAAGAAUUGUGAGGCUAAAACAAGGGAGGUUGCAACCAAAGAGCAACCUAAACCUGAAGAUACUAGAAUACAUUGUUCUGAUUCCCCACCUCCUGUCCAUUCUGAUGCAGAGAUUGAAGUUGAUAUUGAAUAUGAAGCAACACGGUUGCCAUCACCCCAAUAUACACGUGCAACGUCAUAUAAUAUUCAAAGGCAACCACCUAAUCCAGGGGAAAGGAUUCCUAUUUCAGAGUACGUACGGUGUCGAUGAUCAAGAUGUAGUUCGAAGACGAUGCAUUGCAAAGUCUGCAAUUCAACCAUCUGCACACAACUUCGAAGUCGAGAAAAUCUACGGCUAUAGAUGUUGAUACCCAUGGAGAAGACAUGAAGAACCUGAAGGAGGUGGCAAGAUGCACUUUCUUCCUAGUCAAAUUAUUUUUGUUCCGAGCAAGUUCAAAGAAAUCUUCUUGUUUUGACCUUUGUUUCUUAGCACGUUGGUCCAUUCUAAAUAUACUAAA